UAGGGAAUCUUCCACAAUGGACGCAAGUCUGAUGGAGCAACGCCGCGUGAGUGAAGAAGGUCUUCGGAUCGUAAAGCUCUGUUGUUGGUGAAGAAGGAUAGAGGCAGUAACUGGUCUUUAUUUGACGGUAAUCAACCAGAAAGUCACGGCUAACUACGUGCCAGCAGCCGCGGUAAUACGUAGGUGGCAAGCGUUGUCCGGAUUUAUUGGGCGUAAAGCGAGCGCAGGCGGAAUGAUAAGUCUGAUGUGAAAGCCCACGGCUCAACCGUGGAACUGCAUCGGAAACUGUCAUUCUUGAGUGCAGAAGAGGAGAGUGGAACUCCAUGUGUAGCGGUGGAAUGCGUAGAUAUAUGGAAGAACACCAGUGGCGAAGGCGGCUCUCUGGUCUGCAACUGACGCUGAGGCUCGAAAGCAUGGGUAGCGAACAGGAUUAGAUACCCUGGUAGUCCAUGCCGUAAACGAUGAGCGCUAGGUGUUGGGGACUUUCCGGUCCUCAGUGCCGCAGCAAAUC
rnacentral:rRNA from 1 species